UCACAGCAACGCGGCAAACAUGAGACGCGUAGAGGUUUGACCCGGGCUUCCUAAGUCGUAACAACGCUACCCGUAGUAGUUUGAUUCUUGCUCAGGACGAACGCUGGCGGCGUGCCUAAUACAUGCAAGUCGAGCGGACAGAUGGGAGCUUGCUCCCUGAUGUUAGCGGCGGACGGGUGAGUAACACGUGGGUAACCUGCCUGUAAGACUGGGAUAACUCCGGGAAACCGGGGCUAAUACCGGAUGGUUGUUUGAACCGCAUGGUUCAAACAUAAAAGGUGGCUUCGGCUACCACUUACAGAUGGACCCGCGGCGCAUUAGCUAGUUGGUGAGGUAACGGCUCACCAAGGCAACGAUGCGUAGCCGACCUGAGAGGGUGAUCGGCCACACUGGGACUGAGACACGGCCCAGACUCCUACGGGAGGCAGCAGUAGGGAAUCUUCCGCAAUGGACGAAAGUCUGACGGAGCAACGCCGCGUGAGUGAUGAAGGUUUUCGGAUCGUAAAGCUCUGUUGUUAGGGAAGAACAAGUACCGUUCGAAUAGGGCGGUACCUUGACGGUACCUAACCAGAAAGCCACGGCUAACUACGUGCCAGCAGCCGCGGUAAUACGUAGGUGGCAAGCGUUGUCCGGAAUUAUUGGGCGUAAAGGGCUCGCAGGCGGUUUCUUAAGUCUGAUGUGAAAGCCCCCGGCUCAACCGGGGAGGGUCAUUGGAAACUGGGGAACUUGAGUGCAGAAGAGGAGAGUGGAAUUCCACGUGUAGCGGUGAAAUGCGUAGAGAUGUGGAGGAACACCAGUGGCGAAGGCGACUCUCUGGUCUGUAACUGACGCUGAGGAGCGAAAGCGUGGGGAGCGAACAGGAUUAGAUACCCUGGUAGUCCACGCCGUAAACGAUGAGUGCUAAGUGUUAGGGGGUUUCCGCCCCUUAGUGCUGCAGCUAACGCAUAAGCACUACCCGCC
rnacentral:rRNA from 1 species